rnacentral:rRNA from 1 species
UGCGUAGGCGGAUUAAUAAGUCAGUGGUGAAAACCUGCAGCUUAACUGUAGAACUGCCAUUGAUACUGUUAGUCUUGAGUACGGCCAAGGUAGGCGGAAUGUGUAAUGUAGCGGUGAAAUGCUUAGAUAUUACACAGAACACCGAUUGCGAAGGCAGCUUACUGGACCAUUACUGACGCUGAGGCACGAAAGCGUGGGGAGCGAACAGGAUUAGAUACCCUGGUAGUCC